AGUGAACGCUGGCGGUAGGCCUAACACAUGCAAGUCGAACGGCAGCACAGUAAGAGCUUGCUCUUACGGGUGGCGAGUGGCGGACGGGUGAGGAAUACAUCGGAAUCUACUUUUUCGUGGGGGAUAACGUAGGGAAACUUACGCUAAUACCGCAUACGACCUACGGGGGAAAGCAGGGGAUCUUCGGACCUUGCGCGAUUGAAUGAGCCGAUGUCGGAUUAGCUAGUUGGGGGGGUAAAGGCCCACCAAGGCGACGAUCCGUAGCUGGGCUGAGAGGAUGAUCCGCCACCCUGGAACUUAGACACGGUCCAGACUCCUACGGGAGGCAGCAGUGGGGAAUAUUGGACAAUGGGCGCAAGCCUGAUCCAGCCAUACCGCGUGGGUGAAGAAGGCCUUCGGGUUGUAAAGCCCUUUUGUUGGGAAAGAAAAGCAGCAGGUUAAUACCCCGCUGUUCUGACGGUACCCAAAGAAUAAGCACCGGCUAACUUCGUG
rnacentral:rRNA from 1 species